AGUCGAACGUGAAAGCACUUCGGUGUGAGUAGAGUAGCGGACGGGUGAGUAACGCGUGGGAAUCUACCCAGUAGUGGGGGACAACUACCGGAAACGGUAGCUAAUACCGCAUACGCCCUAUGGGGGAAAGGCUUCGGCCGCUAUUGGAUGAGCCCGCGUCAGAUUAGCUAGUUGGUAGGGUAAAGGCCUACCAAGGCAACGAUCUGUAGCUGGUCUGAGAGGACGAACAGCCACACUGGGGCUGAGACACGGCCCAGACUCCUACGGGAGGCAGCAGUGGGGAAUAUUGGACAAUGGGCGAAAGCCUGAUCCAGCAAUGCCGCGUGUGUGAAGAAGGCCUGCGGGUUGUAAAGCACUUUCAGUUGGGAAGAUGAUGACGUUACCAACAGAAGAAGCACCGGCUAAAUCCGUGCCAGCAGCCGCGGUAAUACGGAUGGUGCGAGCGUUAAUCGGAAUUACUGGGCGUAAAGCGCGCGUAGGCGGCUAAGUCAGUCAGAAGUGAAAGCCCCGGGCUCAACCUGGGAAUUGCUUUUGAUACUGCUUAGCUAGAGUUUGGUAGAGGAUAGUGGAAUUUCAGGUGUAGCGGUGAAAUGCGUAGAUAUCUGAAGGAACAUCAGUGGCGAAGGCGACUGUCUGGACCAAAACUGACGCUGAGGUGCGAAAGCGUGGGUAGCAAACAGGAUUAGAUACCCUGGUA
rnacentral:rRNA from 1 species